rnacentral:misc_RNA from 1 species
AACGCACAUUGCGCCCCUUGGUAUUCCGAGGGGCAUGCCUGUUCGAGCGUCAUUAUAACCACUCAAGCCUUGGCUUGGUAUUGGGGUUCGCGGUCUCGCGGCCUUUAAAAUCAGUGGCGGUGCCGUCUGGCUCUAAGCGUAGUAAUUCUCUCGCUAUAGGGUCCUGGCGGUUGCUUGCCAAAAUCCCCCCAUUUUUAUGGUUGACCUCGGAUCAGGUAGGGAUACCCGCUGAACUUAA